AAGUCGUAACAAGGUUUCCGUAGGUGAACCUGCGGAAGGAUCAUUAUCACGUAUCCACGUUAUAAACCAAUGUUGACAUAGUCUUAAAACCUUUGGAGAAUUUUAUUAAUGGAGUAUGUAUUUGGAUAUUUAAACGUUUUUUGAAGUGAUUAAACGUUGUUCAAAUAUAUCAAACAAUUUUUAAAUUGUACAUUAAUUUCUCUAGAGUUGUAUUAAUCACUUUAUUAUUAACCAUUUUAACAAUAUCAUUAUAACUUUUGAACUAAAUUAAUUUAUACUCUCCUCACAGAGAGAUAAAUAAAAAUUACGAAACUAAAAGAACAACUCUUAGCAACGGAUAUCUUGGUUCUC
rnacentral:misc_RNA from 1 species